rnacentral:rRNA from 1 species
CCUACGGGCGGCAGCAGUGAGGAAUAUUGGUCAAUGGGCGAGAGCCUGAACCAGCCAAGUCGCGUGAGGGAGUACUGCCCUAUGGGUUGUAAACCUCUUUUGUCGGGGAGCAAAAGCCGGACGUGUCCGGCUGUGAGAGUACCCGAAGAAAAAGCAUCGGCUAACUCCGUGCCAGCAGCCGCGGUAAUACGGAGGAUGCGAGCGUUAUCCGGAUUUAUUGGGGUUAAAGGGUGCGCAGGCGGAUUUUUAAGUCAGCGGUCAAAUCGUGGGGCUCAACCCCAUCCAGCCGUUGAAACUGGGGAUCUAGAGUGUGCGAGAGGUAUGCGGAAUGCGUGGUGUAUCGGUGAAAUGCAUAGAUAUCACGCAGAACCCCGAUUGCGAAGGCAGCAUACCGGUGCACAACUGACGCUCAGGCACGAAAGCGUGGGUAUCGAACAGGAUUAGAUACCCUUGUAGUC